GUAGGUAUAAAAUGGUUAAUUGUAGGGACUUUAAAGGUGCUUUUCUUUUUAAAGUAGUUAUGUUUGGUGACUUGGUAGGUUGAAAAUGGUUAAGUGUAGAGACUUCAAAGGUGUUUUUUUUUUAACUAUGAUUUGUAUGGUGAGUUGGUUGGUUGAAAAUGAAUAAGUUUGGUAAGUUGGUAUGUUUAAAAUGAUCAAAUUUUAUAACUUUAAAGGUGUUUUUUUGUUUUAAAUGUUGUUAUAUUUGGUGAGUUGGU
rnacentral:lncRNA from 1 species